GAGGGUAGGCCCCUCGGGAUCGACUUUCAGGAGUAGGUCUCAAAUCACUUCAAGCGGCUUCGCUUAAGAGGCGCGGUCGUGAGCGUUGAAGCUAGAGCAUUUUCCGAUCACGUUGCGU
rfam:Bradyrhizobium manausense strain BR3351 contig1948, whole genome shotgun sequence.